rnacentral:rRNA from 1 species
ACGGGAGGCAGCAGUGGGGAAUAUUGCACAGUGGGCGAAAGCCUGAUGCAGCGACGCCGCGUGAGCGAAGAAGUAUUUCGGUAUGUAAAGCUCUAUCAGCAGGGAAGAUAAUGACGGUACCUGACUAAGAAGCACCGGCUAAAUACGUGCCAGCAGCCGCGGUAAUACGUAUGGUGCAAGCGUUAUCCGGAUUUACUGGGUGUAAAGGGAGCGUAGGCGGUUUUACAAGUCUGAUGUGAAAGCCCGGAGCUCAACUCCGGUAUUGCAUUGGAAACUGUAGAACUAGAGUGUCGGAGGGGUAAGUGGAAUUCCUAGUGUAGCGGUGAAAUGCGUAGAUAUUAGGAGGAACACCAGUGGCGAAGGCGGCUUACUGGACGAUUACUGACGCUGAGGCUCGAAAGCGUGGGGAGCAAACAGGAUUAGAUACCCUGGUA